rnacentral:lncRNA from 1 species
AUGUGCAUGGAUGCAUGGUAAUGAUGAUGGUAAGUGUAUGACAUGAUGGUGAUGACUAUAUGAUGAUGUAUGUACAUGAGGUAUGAUGAUAUGUGCAUUGUGCAUGGAUGCUUAAAUGUCAUGUGAUGCUAUGAUUGUGAUGAUUGUGUGGCAUGAUGCAUUGAGUGGUUUAUUGGUCCUUUACCUGCUGAGUGGCUGUACUCACCCCUUUUGGGGAAUAACAUUUCAGACUAGAUAAGAUACCUCUGCUGCCACUGUCACC